CUAGUGCUGCUAAUUGCACAUACAGUUGCAACUCCUUAACAAUUGAACUAAUUGCAAUUUACUUUAUUUGUUCACAUAUUUUGAUCGGACUAAAAUGAUUAUUUUUAUACAUAUUUUUAAGAGAUAUUGAACAGCCAUUUGUUCAAUCAUGAAGGACAUUCAUAAGAGUUUAUAUGUUUUUUCCUUUUUUUAGAUAAUUGGGAUGAUGAAUGGGAUUACAUGAGAUUGAACCUAAGCUCUCACGCCUACAACAUAAUACUUUUGCCAUUUGGCCAAGAG
rnacentral:lncRNA from 1 species